rnacentral:rRNA from 1 species
UACAGAGGUCUCAAGCGUUGUUCGGAUUCAUUGGGCGUAAAGGGCGCGUAGGCUGCGGGGCAAGUCGGGUGUGAAAUCUCAGAGCUCAACUCUGAAACUGCACUCGAUACUGCUCUGCUGGAGGACUGGAGAGGAGAUUGGAAUUCCCGGUGUAGUAGUGAAAUGCGUAGAUAUCGGGAGGAACACCAGCGGCGAAGGCGACUUUCUGGCUGCUAACUGACGCUGAGACGCGAAAGCUAGGGGAGCGAACGGG